CUUUAAAAAAGAAAAAAGAAGACACAAUAAAAAAGAAUGCGUGUUGGCCAGUUUGUGCAUUCCGACGUGGUGGUGUUUGCGGACAUUACACCAAGUGACGGUACGAAAAUUGUUGGCCGUAGUAGAUUACUGUCGAUAUUAAA
ensembl:ncRNA C40H1.11 ncRNA